GAUGAACGCUAGCUACAGGCUUAACACAUGCAAGUCGAGGGGAAACGACAUCGAAAGCUUGCUUUUGAUGGGCGUCGACCGGCGCACGGGUGAGUAACGCGUAUCCAACCUGCCCAUCACUUGGGAAUAACCUUGCGAAAGUAAGACUAAUACCCAAUGACAUCCCACGAAGACAUCUGAAUGGGAUUAAAGAUUUAUCGGUGAUGGAUGGGGAUGCGUCUGAUUAGCUUGUUGGCGGGGUAACGGCCCACCAAGGCAACGAUCAGUAGGGGUUCUGAGAGGAAGGUCCCCCACAUGGGAACUGAGACACUGUCCAAACUCCUACGGGAGGCAGCAGUGAGGAAUAUUGGGCAAUGGGCGAGAGCCUGAACCAGCCAAGUAGCGUGCAGGAUGACGGCCCUAUGGGUUGUAAACUGCUUUUAUAAGGGAAUAAAGUGGGUCUCGUGAGACUUUUUGCAUGUACCUUAUGAAUAAGGACCGGCUAAUUCCGUG
rnacentral:rRNA from 1 species